rnacentral:rRNA from 1 species
UACGGAGGGGCUAGCGUUGUUCGGAAUCACUGGGCGUAAAGCGCACGUAGGCGGAUCUUUAAGUCAGGGGUGAAAUCCCGAGGCUCAACCUCGGAACUGCCUUUGAUACUGGGGAUCUCGAGUCCGGGAGAGGUGAGUGGAACUGCGAGUGUAGAGGUGAAAUUCGUAGAUAUUCGCAAGAACACCAGUGGCGAAGGCGGCUCACUGGCCCGGAACUGACGCUGAGGUGCGAAAGCGUGGGAGCAAACAGGG